AUAAUAACUGAGCGGCGGACGGGUGAGUAACGCGUGGGUAACCUGCCCUGUACAUAUGGAUAACAUGCUGAAAAGCAUACUAAUACAUAAUAACGUACAUUGAAGGCAUCUUCGAUGUAUCAAAGCGUUAGCGGUACAGGAUGGACCCGCGUCUGAUUAGCUAGUUGGUGGGGUAAAAGCCUACCAAGGCGACGAUCAGUAGCCGACCUGAGAGGGUGAUCGGCCACAUUGGAACUGAGACACGGUCCAAACUCCUACGGGAGGCAGCAGUGGGGGAUAUUGCACAAUGGGCGAAAGCCUGAUGCAGCAACGCCGCGUGAACGAUGAAGGUCUUCGGAUCGUAAAGUUCUGUUGCAGGGGAAGAUAAUGACGGUACCCUGUGAGGAAGCACCGGCUAACUACGUGCCAGCAGCCGCGGUAAUACGUAGGGUGCUAGCGUUAUCCGGAUUUACUGGGCGUAAAGGGUGCGUAGGUGGUCUUUCAAGUCGGUGGUUAAAGGCUACGGCUCAACCGUAUUAAACCGCCGAAACUGGAAGACUUGAGUGCAGGAGAGGAAAGUGGAAUUCUCAGUGUAGCGGUGAAAUGCGUAGAUAUUGGGAAGAACACCAGUAGCGAAGGCGGCUUUCUGGACUGCAACUGACACUGAGGCACGAAAGCGUGGGUAGCAAACAGGAUUAGAUACCCUGGUAGUCCACGCCGUAAACGAUGAGUACUAGGUGUCGGGGGUUACCCCCCUCGGUGCCGCAGUUAACGCAUUAAGUACUCCGCCUGGGGAGUACGCACGCAAGUGUGAAACUCAAAGGAAUUGACGGGGACCCGCACAAGUAGCGGAGCAUGUGGUUUAAUUCGAAGCAACGCGAAGAACCUUACCUAAGCUUGACAUCCCUCGGACCGGUAGUUAAUCCUACCUUCCCUUCGGGGCCGAGGCGACAGGUGGUGCAUGGUUGUCGUCAGCUCGUGUCGUGAGAUGUUUGGUUAAGUCCCGCAACGAGCGCAACCCUUGUCUUUAGUUGCCAGCAUUUAGUUGGGCACUCUAGAGAGACUGCCAGGGAUAACCUGGAGGAAGGUGGGGAUGACGUCAAAUCAUCAUGCCCCUUAUGCUUAGGGCUACACACGUGCUACAAUGGGUGGUACAGAGGGUUGCCAAACCGUGAGGUGGAGCUAAUCCCUUAAAGCCAUUCUCAGUUCGGAUUGUAGGCUGAAACUCGCCUACAUGAAGCUGGAGUUACUAGUAAUCGCAGAUCAGAAUGCUGCGGUGAAUGCGUUCCCGGGUCUUGCACACACCGCCCGUCA
rnacentral:rRNA from 1 species